AUGGUAUGCACUGGCUCGCUGACUCCUCCUUCUUGUAGAACCGUAAUGCCAUUAAUUUGGUGUUGCGGGGAAACAGGACUGUUACUUUGAAAAAAUUAGAGUGUUUAAAGCAGGCCAACGCCUGAAUACAUUAGCAUGGAAUAAUGAAAUAGGACGUUCGAACCUAUUUUGUUGGUUUCUAGGAUUGACGUAAUGAUUAAUAGGGAUAGUUGGGGGCAUUAGUAUUCAAUUGUCAGAGGUGAAAUUCUUGGAUUUAUUGAAGACUGACUACUGCGAAAGCAUUUGCCAAGGAUGUUUUCAUUAAUCAAGAACGAAAGUUAGGGGAUCGAAGACGAUCAGAUACCGUCGUAGUCUUAACCAUAAACUAUGCCGACUAGGGAUCGGAUGAUGUUAAUUUUUUAAUGACUCAUUCGGCGCCUUACG
rnacentral:rRNA from 1 species